GCAGAGGAACAAUGAGCUGACUGAUAACAGAUGUGGAAGCAGGACGCUUAGCCUUCUAGGGAAGCAAAAAAAAGGGGGACAGCUGAGGCAAGAGUCAGCUACAGACUGAAAUAGAGUUUGCAUGGAGGAAGAUCAUCUGCAAGUCAAGGGAAAACUGCAGAACAUCACAUUGGAGAGUUAAAAUUCGUCGUUCUGCAGGAUGGUGUCCAUGAUGCUGCAUCCAAAUAAAGAGUCCAGUGAUGGAGUGUCUUUCAGGACCUGCAGUGUUUUGCUUUUCCAUCUUGUCUUUCUUCCAUCUGUUGGAGGUAAUUUCGGUGCAAAACGCUCCUGUAAGACAUUGAUGUGUUAGAAAGCAAAAGACACGACUUCUGAGCGGGAAAAAAAAGGAAUCCAUUUCUGUAACAACUUGGUCCAAAGAGGUGCCGUCUCCACGCCCAUCAUAAAGGUUAACUCAGAUAACCCCAACAGUGUUGUGUUGCAGUGUGAGUCUGAAGGCUGGUAUCCAGAGCCCGAGGUGUUUUGGCUGGACGGUGAGGGAAACCUCCUCCCUGCUGGACCUACAGAGACGGUCAGAGGUCCUGAUGACCUCUAUACUGUCAGGAGCAGAGUGACAGUGGAGAAGAGACAAAGCAACAGCUUCACCUGUAGAGUCCAACAGAAGAACAUCAACCAGACCAGACAGACACACAUCUAUUUUCCAGCUGAUUCAUUCAUCAUCGAAUCUUGUUCUGCUUUCUGGUGUUACGUCGCCCUUGCUGUUGUCAUCGAGCUUGUCUUGGUGUGCAUCAUACUGCAGUGGAUCAAGUGGAACCGGGAAACUGUGGAGCUCUCCUCUCCCUUCCAAACACUAGCUACCCUCCAGGCAGUCAGUGGACAUAAAGUUGUUCCUGUGAUGUAGAGACAGAGCUCAGUUAAAACUUUAUGGAUACAGAUUAAUAACUCAC